GACGAACCGUGCGAACGUUGUUCGGAAUCACUGGGCUUAAAGGGCGCGUAGGCGGGCCGCCGCGUCCGGGGGGAAAUCCCACGGCUCAACCGUGGAACGGCCCCGGGUACGGGCGGUCUGGAGGAGGAUAGGGGCAGGCGGAACUGUGCGUGGAGCGGUGAAAUGCGUUGAUAUGCACAGGAACUCCGGUGGCGAAGGCGGCCUGCUGGGUCCUUUCUGACGCUGAGGCGCGAAAGCCAGGGGAGCGAACGGG
rnacentral:rRNA from 1 species